AUUCUGGGCUGUCAGAGCCUGGAGGGCAGAGGCCCAGAGCCCCGGAAAGGCCGUGGGGUGCCCAGUGUCUGCUCCGGGAAGCCACACUGCCUGCUCUUCGCUCUCGCAGGAAACCUCUGGAUUCUUGACUUUACGAUGCUAACCGGGAGGUAGAACCUAACAAGAGGUCCCAGGCUCCUCCAGCAGAAAUGCGGAUGGGGAAGGACCGGGGGCUCCUGAAGCCUGCAGAUCCAUCUUGACGUCUACACUGCACUUCCACCCUGACCUAGAGACUCUUUCCGGUCACGGAGACAGAGGCGUCCAGGGUAGCCGCAAGUCAGGGAGGGAUGGCACAGGAUGAGGCUACUCGGUCAUGCCCCAGCCUGUACCUGACGUCUGGAGCCAUGAUGCCUCGCAUGUGGGCUGUAGGCGAGGCAGAGGAUGAAAGAGAAAAAAGUAAGUGAAGCCAUGCACAGCUGCUGUGGUCC
rnacentral:lncRNA from 1 species